GCCAUGACCAGGAAGAUCUUCACAAAUACCAGGGAGCGGUGGAGGCAGCAAAAUGUCAACAGUGCCUUUGCUAGGCUGAGGAAGCUCAUUCCCACUCACCCUCCAGACAAAAAGCUGAGCAAAAAUGAAACACUUCGCCUGGCAAUGAGGUAUAUCAACUUCUUGGUCAAGGUCUUGGGGGAGCAAAGCCUACAGCAAGCAGGAGUGGCUGCUCAGGGAAACAUUCUGGGGCUCUUCCCCCAAGGACCCCACCUGCCCGGCCUGGAGAACAGGAGUCUCCUUGAUGAUUACUGUGUUUCUUCACCUAACCCAGACCACCACCUUCCAUAGUAUGGCUUCAGCUGUCAUCACCCAGGCAGCACUUGUCAGAAGUCACCACUGUGAACAGCCUUAUGCAUGUUCCAGAGUGGACUGGAUGAAUGACUUGUGAGGCAUGUAUUGAGCCUCAUGGGAGGUGGCUGACAGAGCUGCAGGGAGCUGAAAGGAGGCCACAGGAAUGUUUCCCUGGAGUCCAUCGCCUCCAGGACUUCAGGCCAAACCCUGACUUCUGUCUGUUUUACAAAUUCAGGUUCUGUAUAAGAUGUUUGCAAAAAAAAAAAAAAAUCAUGGAUUUAAAAAUCCCUGUUUUACUCAAUGUAUUCAGUAAUAAGAAAGAAGUUUUCUCAUCAUGGAUCUCAGAUGAAUGAGCAGAAUAUGUUUCCCUCACAACAUAUUUAAAAACUUGUUUUUGAAGAAUGAGACGUAUUUGGUCAAGGACAAACAAAAUAAAUUUUAAGAUUGGUGUAUGAAAAGAAAGCCCCUGAAGAAUCAACUUGGGAGACAUGGAAAAAAACUCCCUGAGGAGUGAAGAUUGCAUAGAUGUGGAAGAGUGUAUCCUUUAAAUACUAUAGAAAUGUGAGUUUUACUUAUAUUGAGCCAUUUAUACAUAUGAUAUCUCUAAAGUUAAACAGUGGGUUUAUCUAUGAAAGCAGGAGGACCUGAUAAUUUAUGAGUUGAGUUCAUAGUUUUCUUAUUUAUGUAUUUAUUUUUUAAUAUUUAUUUUUUAGUAUUUGGCGGACACAACAUCUUUGUUUGUAUGUGGUGCUGAGGAUCGAACCUGGGCCGCACGCAUGCCAGGCGAGCGCGCUACCGCUUGAGCCACAUCCCAGCCCCUAGUUUUCUUAUUUAAAAAAAAAAAAAAAAGUUGGCUAAAAUAAAUUAGUAAACCCUUUAUUUCACAAGUCAGGUAUUAAAACUUUUAAUUCAGCCCGAGUUCCUGCUGACUUAAGAACCAUGAAAUUCUAUUGUAAUUAUGAAAAUCCAAACAUUACCAUUUAAUGACUCAUUUAACAGAGGUUAGUUUAAACAAAACAUUUAGAGUAAACAAUAGAAAUGUAAUGCCAGACUCUGAUGAACAAAUGAAUUUGUACUUUGCCUUCUUUGCUUUGGAGCAUUAGCUUAGUCUUAUGCUGGGGGGUGGGUGUGGUACCCAGGUCAAUGAAAUAGUGUCGAUUUUAUAGAACUCAUCACUGCGUGUCAUCCUGAACCUGAUGACACUUGGAUUCAAAGAUUAAAUCCUGUGGUUGAGGCCAGAAAUGUAAACAGUGUCAUUGGAUUAUCUCUGGAACUUUUUAUUUCCCCAAAAUUCUAGUCCAUGGAUUGGUUUUAAAGUCUUUUGAACCAGGGGUAAGAAAUCUAUGGAUUUGAGGUUAGGAAUUUUCAGUGUAUACACAAUAAAGGAAUUUGAACUUUCUGCCACUCUAGAAAGAAUUUUGUAAAUGAAAGGUUGAAAUAGGCCUUCUUGGUUUGACAAUAAAAAGAAAUCUGGGUGAGUCAGCAAUCUCAUUUUCCCAAAGUAGCAAGGUCAACAUGUUAUUAGAUCUAUAUAGACUUAGUACUUAUAGCCCAGUGGGUCUAUUUGAACCAGUAAGGUUUCCUUCUAGAUUCUUUAUUUAACCUGCAUUUGGUAAACUUCCGCACAUUUCCAGUACAGUUCAGGGAAACACACAAGCAGGAACAGGGGACUUUCCCCCAAAUGUGCAUUUCUUUCUCACCAGCUUGGGUGAACUCCAGCUUGUCCUCCAGUUACCAGGCGAUUUCAAAGUUUUGAGGACAGUUAUCAAUUGAGUAGCAUUACCUAAUCUCUCAACAACACUUUCAACCAUAUUUUUAUAUUAGUUUCAUUUUAGCACAUUGAUAAGGAAAACACAGAGCACUUCUGUGCCUGAAUAUAGGAUUUUGUUCCUCUACCCAGAAUGAGUUCACUUUCCCACUGCUGAGCUGUAGGCUAUGUGGACAAAGAGGGUCUUUCCACUGAAAUGUAACAGAUUCUGCAAAGACAUUAGGAGGUUGAGUUAUUACAUGAGGGGGGUUGUUAAGGAUUUUCUGCAGCAAAUCCUUUGAUAAAUGAAUACACCUUACUCUGUGUAAUCCAUUUCUUAAAAUAUUCAUUUUAUCAGCUUGGAUUUUUGUAUAUAAAUUGUAUUAUAUUAAAGUAUCUGUCAAAAAAAAAUUAUAGCUGGGCAUGGUGGUGCAUGCCUGUAAUCCCAGCAGGUGGUGCAUGCCUGUAAUCCCUCAGGAGGCUGAGGCAGGAGGAUUGUGAGUUCAUAGCCAGACUCAACAAAAGCGAGGUGCUAAACAACUCAGUGAGACCCUAUCUCUAAUAAAAUACAAAAUAGGGCUAGGGAUGUGGCUGAGUGGCUGAGUGCCCCUGAGUUCCAUCCCUGGUACCGCCCCCCCACACACACAAAAAAAAAAGAAUUAUAAUUACAUGUGGGCCAAAACCUUGAUAAGGUAUCCAUGAGAACGAAACCUAAUUAAAAAAUCAUUCUAGUGCUUUCUUUGGUGUCUACACUUAAGGGUUGAUAAUUGCAGCAAUAAGAAAUUAUGGUUCAAACACAUGGUAGGUCCCUGGAUGACCCCUUUAUGAGUCAUUUGAGCACAAAAAAACAGUUUAGACAAAUUGUCUAACCUGUGCAUCUCUAUUAUUUGAAUGAAAGUAAAUGUUUGGUAUGCUAUGGAUAACACUGGAAACUUCAGAAACAGGCCCAGUGGUCUAUAUAAAUAGACCGUGUGCUUGAUUAAUUCUAUUCCUUCAUUUUACAGGGGAGAAAACAGGUCCAAAGGUUUUUGAAAUGACUUUUCAAAGGUCACAUGGACUGUUACUGGAAACCCAGGGCAAAGAGCCAGGUCUCGUGGCCCCGCAUCCAGCUUUUCCACAGCCCUGUCCAGCUACCAAAUAUAUAGAGUUUCAAAAUCAACAAGCGCCUUAUCAUUAUACUCAUCUUUUUUCAAAAGCAUUCAGAAAUCUUCUUCAUAUGACUUUCUAUUGAAUUGGCAUUAUUGUGCUUUGUGAUAUGUGAGUAGAUGUAUCAACCAAAGAUUUCUAUUAGUUGAUGCAUCUUUUGAGUUCUU
rnacentral:lncRNA from 1 species